AUACUUCCUUAGACAGUGUCAAUGGUAGGUAAAAAGGUCCAUGCCCUAGGUUGGUGCCUCCAUUGCAUAUAUUUUAGGGCUACCAGCCUAUGGCUAACUCUAGUAAAUGACUCUACAUCAUAAUUUAUAAUAGAAGGGGAUUGAGUUCGUGUAGACUCUAC